AUUGAACGCUGGCGGCAGGCCUAACACAUGCAAGUCGAGCGGAUGAAGGGAGCUUGCUCCUGGAUUCAGCGGCGGACGGGUGAGUAAUGCCUAGGAAUCUGCCUGGUAGUGGGGGAUAACGUCCGGAAACGGGCGCUAAUACCGCAUACGUCCUGAGGUAGAAAGUGGGGGAUCUUCGGACCUCACGCUAUCAGAUGAGCCUAGGUCGGAUUAGCUAGUUGGUGAGGUAAAGGCCUACCAAGGCGACGAUCCGUAACUGGUCUGAGAGGAUGAUCAGUCACACUGGAACUGAGACACGGUCCAGACUCCUACGGGAGGCAGCAGUGGGGAAUAUUGGACAAUGGGCGAAAGCCUGAUCCAGCCAUGCCGCGUGUGUGAAGAAGGUCUUCGGAUUGUAAAGCACUUUAAGUUGGGAGGAAGGACAGUAAGUUAAUACCUUGCUGUUUUGACGUUACCAACAGAAUAAGCACCGGCUAACUUCGUG
rnacentral:rRNA from 1 species